rnacentral:rRNA from 1 species
GAUGAACGCUAGCGGCAGGCUUAACACAUGCAAGUCGAGGGGUAGAAAUAGCUUGCUAUUUUGAGACCGGCGCACGGGUGCGUAACGCGUAUGCAAUCUGCCUUGUACUGGGGAAUAGCCCGGAGAAAUCCGGAUUAAUGCCCCAUGGUAUUUUUGUGUGGCAUCACACGAUUAUUAAAGAUUUAUCGGUACAAGAUGAGCAUGCGUCCCAUUAGUUAGUUGGUGUGGUAACGGCACACCAAGACGAUGAUGGGUAGGGGUCCCGAGAGGGAGUCCACCCACACAGGUACUGAGACACGGACCAGGCGCCGACGGGAGGCAGCAUUGAGGAAUAUUGGCCAAUGGGGGAAAGCCUGAACCAGCCAUGCCGCGUGCAGGAUGACGGCCCUCUGGGUUGUAAACUGCUUUUAUACGGGAAGAAACACCUCUUCGUGAAGAGGCUUGACGGUACCGUAAGAAUAAGGAUCGGCUAACUCCGUGCCAGCCGCCGCCGUAAUAC